GACGAACGCUGGCGGCGUGCUUAACACAUGCAAGUCGAACGGAAAGGCCUGCUUUCCCUUGUGGAUUGCGGGUACUCGAGUGGCGAACGGGUGAGUAACACGUGAGUGAUCUGCCCCCAACUUGGGUAUAAGCCUGGGAAACUGGGUCUAAUUCCCGAUAGGACUGCAGGGUGGUGCCUGUGGUGGAAAACGAUUUUCUAGUGGUUGGGGAUGAGCUCGCGGCCUAUCAGCUUGUUGGUGGGGUAAUGGCCUACCAAGGCGGCGACGGGUAGCCGGCCUGAGAGGGGGGACGGCCACAGUGGGACUGAGAUACGGCCCAGACUCCUACGGGAGGCAGCAGUGGGGAAGAUUGCACAAUGGGCGGAAGCCUGAUGCAGCGACGCCGCGUGGGGGAUGACGGCCUUCGGGUUGUAAACUCCUUUCGACCGCGAGGAAGCCACCUGGUUGGAAGGGUGGUGACGGUAGUGGUAGAAGAAGCACCGGCUAACUACGUG
rnacentral:rRNA from 1 species